UGCAGUCGACGGCAGCACAGUAGAGCUUGCUCUAUGGGUGGCGAGUGGCGGACSGGUGAGUAAUGCAUCGGGAUCUACCCAAACGUGGGGGAUAACGUAGGGAAACUUACGCUAAUACCGCAUACGUCUUACGAGAGAAAGCAGGGGACCUUCGGGCCUUGCGCGGUUGGACGAACCGAUGUGCGAUUAGCUAGUUGGUAGGGUAAUGGCCUACCAAGGCGACGAUCGCUAGCUGGUCUGAGAGGAUGAUCAGCCACACUGGAACUGAGACACGGUCCAGACUCCUACGGGAGGCAGCAGUGGGGAAUAUUGGACAAUGGGCGCAAGCCUGAUCCAGCAAUGCCGCGUGUGUGAAGAAGGCCUUCGGGUUGUAAAGCACUUUUAUCAGGAGCGAAAUACUACCGGCUAAUAUCCGGUGGGGCUGACGGUACCUGAGGAAUAAGCACCGGCUAACUUCGUGCCAGCAGCCGCGGUAAUACGAAGGGUGCAAGCGUUAAUCGGAAUUACUGGGCGUAAAGCGUGCGUAGGCGGUUAUUUAAGUCUGUUGUGAAAUCCCCGGGCUCAACCUGGGAAUGGCAAUGGAU
rnacentral:rRNA from 1 species